CGCAGCCAUAUCACGUUGAAACAUGGAUUCUCGUCCGAUCAGAGAAGUUAAGCAAAGUUGACCUUGGUCAGUAUUCUGAUGGGUGACUGCUGGGGAAUACCAGAUGCUGUAA